rnacentral:rRNA from 1 species
CCUACGGGAGGCAGCAGUGAGGAAUAUUGGUCAAUGGACGAGAGUCUGAACCAGCCAAGUAGCGUGAAGGAUGACUGCCCUAUGGGUUGUAAACUUCUUUUAUAUGGGAAUAAAACGUUCCACGUGUGGGAUUUUGUAUGUACCAUAUGAAUAAGGAUCGGCUAACUCCGUGCCAGCAGCCGCGGUAAUACGGAGGAUCCGAGCGUUAUCCGGAUUUAUUGGGUUUAAAGGGAGCGUAGGUGGAUUGUUAAGUCAGUUGUGAAAGUUUGCGGCUCAACCGUAAAAUUGCAGUUGAAACUGGCAGUCUUGAGUACAGUAGAGGUGAGCGGAAUUCGUGGUGUAGCGGUGAAAUGCUUAGAUAUCACGAAGAACUCCGAUGGCGAAGGCAGUUCACUGGACUGCAACUGACACUGAGGCUCGAAAGUGUGGGUAUCAAACAGGAUUAGAUACCCCUGUAGUC